rnacentral:rRNA from 1 species
CCCUUAGAUGUUCUGGGCCGCACGCGCGCUACACUGAUGCAUUCAACAAGCCUAGCCUUGACCGAGAGGUCCGGGUAAUCUUUGAAACUGCAUCGUGAUGGGGCUAGAUUAUUGCAAUUAUUAAUCUUCAACGAGGAAUGCCUAGUAAGCGUGAUUCAUCAAAUCGCGUUGAUUACGUCCCUGCCCUUUGUACACACCGCCCGUCGCUCCUACCGAUUGAAUGUGUUGGUGAGGAGCUCGGAUUGGCAGCAGUUGGUGGUUCGCCACCGGCUAUUGCUUAGAAGUCCUCCAAACCGCCCCAUUUAGAGGAAGGAGAAGUCGUAACA